UACGUAGGUGGCAAGCGUUGUCCGGAUUUAUUGGGUUUAAAGGGUGCGUAGGCGGCUUUGUAAGUCAGUGGUGAAAUAUGGCAGCUCAACUGUCAAGGUGCCAUUGAUACUGCAGAGCUUGAGUACAGAUGAGGUAGGCGGAAUUGACGGUGUAGCGGUGAAAUGCUUAGAUAUCGUCAAGAACACCUAUAGCGAAGGCAGCUUACUAGGCUGUAACUGACGCUGAGGCACGAAAGUGUGGGAAUCCAACAGGA
rnacentral:rRNA from 1 species